CGUAGAAGCCACAGACGACGCCUUCUGGGAUCAGUUCUGGGCCGACACCUCCACCACCGUCCAGGAUGUCUUCGCUCUGGUGCCGGCGGCCGAGAUCAGAGCCGUCAGAGAGGAGUCUCCGUCCAACCUGGCAACCCUCUGCUACAAGGCAGUGGAGAGGUUGGUCCAGGGUGCAGACUCCGGCUGCCCCUCAGAGAAAGAGCGUCAGAUCGUCCUGAACUGCACCCGCCUGCUCACCCGCAUCCUGCCCUACAUCUUUGAGGACGCCGACUGGAGAGGCUUCUUCUGGUCCACCGUGCCAGGAGCCGGCAGAGCAGGGCGUUUGGACGAAGAUGGCGAUGUGGAUGAAGCACGGCCGCUGGCUGAGUCGCUGCUGCUCGCCAUCGCCGACCUCCUGUUCUGUCCAGAUUUCACCGCUCAGAGCCACAAGAAGAGCAGCACGGACACAGCCGAGGACAUCCGAUCCAUAGACAGCUGUGAGUACAUCUGGGAGGCUGGUGUCGGCUUCGCUCAGUCUCCUCCUCCAAACUACGUCCACGACAUCAACAGGUGGGA